rnacentral:rRNA from 1 species
UACGUAGGGGGCAAGCGUUGUCCGGAUUUAUUGGGCGUAAAGAGCGUGUAGGCGGCCAGGUAGGUCUGCUGUGAAAACUCGAGGCUCAACCUCGAGACGUCGGCGGAAACCAUCUGGCUAGAGUCCGGAAGAGGAGAGUGGAAUUCCUGGUGUAGCGGUGAAAUGCGCAGAUAUCUGGAGGAACACCGGUGGCGAAGGCGACAUCCUGGACCAAUACUGACGCUGAGUGAGCGAAAGCCAGGGGAGCAAACGGG